UUCGAAUUUAACUUGGUGACGUCUCGCUGUUGUUUCGAAGACUACAUAUGUUUUAGGUGUUGAAGAAUGAGGGCUUUUGCGAUUUGUGCCAGAUAAGGCCGUUGAAAAGAGUCUAAUGUUUGUAGAAUUUAUUUUUAAGCGCGUCCUGAGACUUUUUGCGUAGCUGAAGCGUAAGAAUUCGAAAAAAAUGCAUAUUGUAGUAAAAGUUUUAAAAAGCUCGAUUACAAUGAUGCAUCU
rnacentral:lncRNA from 1 species